rnacentral:rRNA from 1 species
GAAAGUAAAGAAGGGCGCAUGGCGGAUGCCUUGGCUCUCGGAGGCGAUGAAGGACGUGAUAAGCUGCGAUAAGCUUUGGGGAGGUGCAAAUGACCUUUGAUCCAGAGAUUUCCGAAUGGGACAACCCAAUAUCUUGAAGAGGUAUUAUCCAACGUUGUUGGAGGCUAACGCAGGGAACUGAAACAUCUUAGUACCUGCAGGAAAAGAAAAUAAACAAUGAUUCCCCCAGUAGUGGCGAGCGAACGGGGAACAGCCCAAACCAUCCAUGUUACGGCAUGGGUGGGGUUGUAGGACUACGCCGUUGCAUGAAGACAUCAGAGAAGAACUUUCUGGAAAGAAAGACCAUAGAGCAUGACAGUUGCGUAUUCGAAUGUUGUCGAAGCAUAGUAGUAUCCUGAGUAGCGCGGAGCACGAGGAAUUCUGCGUGAAUCUGCCGGGACCAUCCGGUAAGGCUAAAUACUCCCGAGAGACCGAUAGCGAACCAGUACCGUGAGGGAAAGGUGAAAAGCACUUCGAACAGAAGAGUGAAAUAGUUCCUGAAACCGUGCGCCUACAAGCGGUCGGAGCUCGUUAAUGAGUGACGGCGUGCCUUUUGCAUAAUGAACCUACGAGUUGCCUUUGCCGGCAAGGUUAAGUGUGACGACACACGUAUCCGAAGCGAAAGCGAGUCUGAACAGGGCGUAUAGUCGGCAGUGGCAGACGCGAAACCAAGUGAUCUACCCUUGGCCAGGUUGAAGGCUGGGUAACACCAGCUGGAGGACCGCACCAAUAAGCGUUGAAAAGCUUCUGGAUGAGCUGAGGGUAGGGGUGAAAGGCUAAUCAAACUUGGAGAUAGCUCGUACUCCCCGAAAUGCAUUUAGGUGCAGCCUUGCGGGUUACUGAUGUGAGGUAGAGCGACUGAUAAGAUGCGAGGGCUUCACCGCCUAUCAAGUCUUGACAAACUCCGAAUGCGCAUCAGUUCUACCGCAGGAGUGAGGGCAUGGGUGCUAAGGUCCGUGCCCGAGAGGAGAAGAAUCCGGACCACCUGCUAAGGUCCCGAAAUGACAGCUAAGUUAAACUAACGAAGUCUGACUGCUAAGACAGCUAGGAUGUUGGCUUGGAAGCAGCCAUUCAUUUAAAGAGUGCGUAACAGCUCACUAGUCGAGGAGUCGGGCGUGGAUAAUAAUCGGGUAUUAAGUUGUCUACCGAAGCAGUGGGAUCAUUAAUAUGAUCGGUAGGGGAGCAUUCCAGUCAGCGUCGAAGGCGUACCGUGAGGUAUUCUGGAGCGUCUGGAAAAGCAAAUGUAGGUAUAAGUAACGAUAAAGGGGGCGGGAAACCCCCUCGCCGAAAGACUAAGGUUUCCUGAUCAACGCUAAUCGGAUCAGGGUCAGUCGGGUCCUAAGGCUCAGCCGAACGGCGAUGCCGAUGGCAGAAACGGUUAAUAUUCCGUUACUACCUUCAGGAGUGACGUGGAGACGCAGUAGUGACAGUGCCGCCAUCUGACGGAAUAGAUGGUUGAAGGGUGUAGGAGUCGAUCAUGGCAGGCAAAUCCACCAUGAGAUCCGAACCUGACAGUAUGCCGCGUCCUUCGGGACAAGGCAAUAGUGCGCGUAAGCAUGCUGCCGAGAAAAUCCGCUAAACUUAAUCCUGCAGGUACCCGUACCGCAAACGGACACACGUAGUCGGGAUGAAUAUUCUAAGGCGCUUGAGUGAUUCACGGUUAAGGAACUAGGCAAACUGACCCUGUAACUUCGGGAUAAAGGGUCCCUACCCUUUUAUGGGAGGGCGCAGAGAAUCGGUCCAGGCAACUGUUUAACAAAAACACAGGGCUGUGCCAAAUCGAAAGAUCCAGUAUACAGCCUGACACCUGCCCGGUGCUGGAAGGUUAAGAGGAGAUGUCAUCGAUAAGAGAAGCGUUGAAUUGAAGCCCCAGUAAACGGCGGCCGUAACUAUAACGGUCCUAAGGUAGCGAAAUUCCUUGUC